rnacentral:rRNA from 1 species
UACGGGGGGAGCAAGCGUUGUUCGGAUUUACUGGGCGUAAAGGGCGCGUAGGCGGCGUGUUAAGUCAGCUGUGAAAUCUCCAAGCUUAACUUGGAACGGUCAGCUGAUACUGAUGUGCUAGAGUGCAGAAGGGGCAAUCGGAAUUCUUGGUGUAGCGGUGAAAUGCGUAGAUAUCAAGAGGAACACCUGAGGUGAAGACGGGUUGCUGGGCUGACACUGACGCUGAGGCGCGAAAGCCAGGGGAGCAAACGGG